CUCAUCUACUGUGACAUAGUCGUACAGAAAAUAUUGUGUUAUACGAGUCCAAUGUUAACUGUAAGACUGUGUCUUGGUGGCUUGAA
rfam:Glossina morsitans morsitans, isolate Yale, WGS project CCAG01000000 data, contig: ctg10012833